ACGGGAAAGAGGAAUGAUCUGAGAUACGAGGCGAAUAAUAGUGAACGGAGCUCCAAGAGUUUUCACUUGCUGCUGUGAAAUCUGCCCCACGAUAACCCCUUCUCAUCAGAGCCUUAUUCUUUCCUUGUCGAUUUUCUUUUCUUUAUUCUUUAAUUUUAUUUGUUACAUAUUGAUCACUGCAUGCAUUUUACUAUUCCUUCAUUUACUUAUUGUUUUAUUAUCACUGUAUAUAUGCGUCUAAUUGCUCAAUGC
rnacentral:lncRNA from 1 species